AUGAACGCUGGCGGCGUGCCUAAUACAUGCAAGUCGAGCGAACGGACGAGAAGCUUGCUUCUCUGAUGUUAGCGGCGGACGGGUGAGUAACACGUGGAUAACCUACCUAUAAGACUGGGAUAACUUCGGGAAACCGGAGCUAAUACCGGAUAAUAUUUUGAACCGCAUGGUUCAAAAGUGAAAGACGGUCUUGCUGUCACUUAUAGAUGGAUCCGCGCUGCAUUAGCUAGUUGGUAAGGUAACGGCUUACCAAGGCAACGAUGCAAAGCCGACCUGAGAGGGUGAUCGGCCACACUGGAACUGAGACACGGUCCAGACUCCUACGGGAGGCAGCAGUAGGGAAUCUUCCGCAAUGGGCGAAAGCCUGACGGAGCAACGCCGCGUGAGUGAUGAAGGUCUUCGGAUCGUAAAACUCUGUUAUUAGGGAAGAACAUAUGUGUAAGUAACUGUGCACAUCUUGACGGUACCUAAUCAGAAAGCCACGGCUAACUACGUG
rnacentral:rRNA from 1 species